GAAUCUGUCACCAUCGCUAUGAGGUGAGAAGGAAAUUGCAGUACUGAGGUUUCUUGCUUCUUCCUCACUGAGACAGAAAAACCCAACUGUCAACAAACCCCAAACCAACCAACCAACCAAGUGAUGCUGGGAGGUUGCUGGCCAGCAGGCUGCAUCUAUGGCAGACAAGAUCAUGAAAUGGCCUGGGCUCAAAAACCAAGAUCAUGAAAGACAGAGGAUGAAAAGAAGAGGAAAAGCUUGUGAAGGGGGGUGCUUGGAGUGAAAAGCCCACGAGAUCUCAAUUUUCAAAGCAACUCAGCGUUCCCUAGCACCCUUGGACAUGCCCGGGUUUCUCCCAGGCCAUACGCCAAAUAGUCAAAGCUAUGGUUUUUCCAGUAGUCACAUAUGGAUGUGAAAGCUGGACUGUAAAGAAGACUGAGUGCCAAAUAAUUGAUUGUUCUGAACUGUGGUGCUGGAGAAGACUCGAGAAUUCCUUGGACAGCAAUGAGAUCAAACCAGUCAAUACAAAGACAAUCAACCCUGAAUAUUCAUUGGAAGGACUGACACUGAAGCUGAAGAUCCAGUACUUUGUAGUCUAAAUUUUAGGUUUAAAAAAACCCAUCCAUGGGCUUCCCAGGUGGUUCAGUGGUAAGGAAUCCGCUUGCCAGUGCAGGAGACAAGGGUUCGAUCCCUGAUCCAGGAAGAUCCUGCAUCCCUCCAAGCAACUAAGCCUGUGCACCCCAACUAUUGAGCCUGUGCUCCUCAAUAAGAGAAACCGCAACAAUGAGAAGCCUGAGACCACAAAUAGGGAGUAGCCAAGUCUCAC
ensembl:lncRNA